rnacentral:rRNA from 1 species
UUGCACGCUGGCGGCAGGCCUAACACAUGCAAGUCGAACGGUAACAGGAAGCAGCUUGCUGCUUUGCUGACGAGUGGCGGACGGGUGAGUAAUGUCUGGGAAACUGCCUGAUGGAGGGGGAUAACUACUGGAAACGGUAGCUAAUACCGCAUAACGUCGCAAGACCAAAGAGGGGGACCUUCGGGCCUCUUGCCAUCGGAUGUGCCCAGAUGGGAUUAGCUAGUAGGUGGGGUAACGGCUCACCUAGGCGACGAUCCCUAGCUGGUCUGAGAGGAUGACCAGCCACACUGGAACUGAGACACGGUCCAGACUCCUACGGGAGGCAGCAGUGGGGAAUAUUGCACAAUGGGCUCAAGCCUGAUGCAGCCAUGCCGCGUGUAUGAAGAAGGCCUUCGGGUUGUAAAGUACUUUCAGCGGGGAGGAAGGGAGUAAAGUUAAUACCUUUGCUCAUUGACGUUACCAGCAGAAGAAGCACCGGCUAACUCCGUG